GUUCAUUCCUGAACAUAUACUAAAAUUGGAACAAUACAGAGAAGAUUAGCAUGCCCCUGCGCAAGAAUGACACGCAAAUUCGUGAAAUGUUCCAAAAUUUU
rnacentral:snRNA from 1 species